UACAGAGGUCUCAAGCGUUGUUCGGAUUCAUUGGGCGUAAAGAGCUCGUAGGCGGCUUGUCGCGUCGAAUGUGAAAUCUCAGGGCUCAACUCUGACAUUGCAUUCGAUACGGGCAGGCUAGAGUUCGGUAGGGGAGACUGGAAUUCCUGGUGUAGCGGUGAAAUGCGCAGAUAUCAGGAGGAACACCGGUGGCGAAGGCAGGUCUCUGGGCCAUAACUGACGCUGAGAAGCGAAAGCAUGGGGAGCGAACAGG
rnacentral:rRNA from 1 species